rnacentral:misc_RNA from 1 species
UCUCCGUUGGUGAACCAGCGGAGGGAUCAUUACUGAGUGAGGGUCUAACCGCCCGACCUCCAACCCUUUGUGAAUCGUACUCGUUGCUUCGGGGGCGACCCUGCCGUUCGCGGCGCGGGGCCCCCGGUGGACCACCCAACCCUGCAUCGUUGCGUCUGAGUCGAAAUAUAAAUCAAUCAAAACUUUCAACAACGGAUCUCUUGGUUCUGGCAUCGAUGAAGAACGCAGC